rnacentral:lncRNA from 1 species
CAAGGCAAGGGCGGGAUGAUCCGCGACUCGCCGGAGCACUUCGGCUUCCGCACCCAGUCCGACGGCGACGGCAUCAGCAUCUUCGGCUCCACCAACGUCUGGCUCGACCACCUCUCCCUCUCCAACUGCCAGGACGGCCUCAUCGACGUCAUCGCCAAGUCCACCGGAGUCACCAUCUCCAACUGCCACCUCACCAACCACAACGACGUCAUGCUCUUCGGCUCCAGCGACUCCUUCAGCGAGGACCAGAUCAUGCAGAUCACCGUCGCUUUCAACCACUUCGGCCGCGGCCUCGUCCAAAGAAUGCCCAGGUCACAUAAUAAUACUACCAGUAGAGAACACCAUACAUAAAAUAUUAAUAAUAAUAAUAUUAUAUUAUUAUAUAUAUAACAUCAUUCAUUAUUAUUUAUCAUGUAUUGUGCAGAUGCCGAUGGGGAUUUUUCCACGUGGUGAACAACGACUACACGCACUGGCUCAUGUAUGCCAUCGGAGGGAGCAAGAACCCGACGAUCAUCAGCCAGGGGAACAGGUACAUCGCGCCGCCAAACCUAGCGGCGAAGCGGAUCACGAAGCAGCUCGGGGCGACGGAGGAGGAGUGGAAGAACUGGGUGUGGCACUCUGAGGAGGACCUGUUCAUGGAGGGGGCCUACUUCACCACGUCCGGUGGCCCGAUCCAGAAGCAGUUCAGCAACAAGGAUCUGAUCAAGCCCAAGCCCGGAUCCUACGUCACGAGGCUCACCCGCUUCGCUGGCUCCAUCCCAUGCGUGGCCGGCAAGCCGUGCUAGAGCGCGGUGGCCGGCCCCCACCGGAUCCACGGCUAGCCGGAGAUGAUUCUUAUUUUGUAGUUGUGUGAGCUUAUUUUUUCUUCUACACAUACGUACUUACUCAAGAAAUCUUGAUCUGUGGCCGGCCGGGUUCUGGUCAAUGUGAUCCUAUAGGUUCUACAUAUAAAAAAGUUGUAUUAAUUAAAAGCAUUUUUGGAAGCGGUGGCGAUGCAAAUUUAGAGGGCGAUAGGGCGAGGAGCAUGCAUGUUUGUGCGUAUAGGUCUACUUGUUGAUGGUGAUCACGAAAGAGCCAAUGCAUUGUCAUGAUAGAGGACAUGCGCAUUUAUGCAGAAGGCCCUAGGGCAGGAAUUAUUUUUUUUUCAUUGAUUGUUUUAAAUGUAUUGUACUGAAACUACAUUGUUGUUUCAUUAACUGCACGCAUCUCCAAUGCAAAGUGCUAAUGUAAGGUGUUUAAUAUAUAGUGCUAAUGUAAAGUGCAAUGAAGCAUCUCACUACUAUAGAAGAUGACUUCAGUGUCGGGUCGUAACCCCUCAUCAGUGUUGGAAAUCAAACCGGCACGAGGUCAUGAGUGCCGGGUUAAGAACCGGCAUUGGUGAGGACUCAUCGGUGCCACUUGUUGGCUACAAAUAACGUGUGCAAUGAUUUGUAAAUACGUGAUAUUUUCAACACAAAUAUAUAAAAUAUAAGUACAUCCCAACAACCAUUCAUUCAAAUUUGAUUUGAAACCAGAAAGACUCUAGCUUAGAUACCAUACUAGCAAUCCACACCGCAAUUUCUAAGAAAUCAUGCUACACCGUGAAAUAAUUAAUAUUACACAAAAGAAUUGAAAAUAUGUGAGCAAUGGGAUUAAUCGACUAUCCGUGAUCCUGCCUUGCGAGGGGCGACACGCAAGAGCUGUGCGGAACAAUGCAACCAGAAAUGAAGGUUGUAAUAUUCCCUGAAAGUGCAUCUAGCCCUUUAAGUGGGUUUUGGUGGAUUAAUGACAAACCAGUUAAGUGACUAAUAAUCUUGUGAAGAAGUGUGUGCAGGUGUUAGUCCAAAAUGAAUGGAGACAUCCAAAUCUAAUUAAUGGAAUUUGGAGCGAGAACUUGAACAGUUAUUUUAAAUUUCUUUUGUGUUUUAUCUCUUGAGUUCUAGGACCUUCGUAUUAUCAAGAGGGUUCUCAACAGAUGCUCAAUGUCUACAAGUGCUCAUAGUCAUUCUCUGGAAGAGAGACACAUGUUUCGCACAUGCACACUGGGUUGUGCCACCUUUUUCUAUCUGCCAGGAGUUCUCAAAGAGAUGCCUGGAAACCUCCGGGCCUAAGUGUUGACCGGAAGUUCUCCGGGGGCUAGCCCAGAACUUCGGGCUCUGUUUAAGUUUGAAUUUGAGAGCAACGUCUAGUUGAUGUCGCACGAGUAACUAUAUAUUCCAGCCUCUCCCACCUUUGUUGCCUGGCAAUUCCACUUUAGUUUUCUUGUCCUUAGACUCUCAUAUGAUGUUAUUCUUGGAGGGCAACCUCCUAGAUGGAUAAAUUUCGCCCGCGAGCAUCCAUGUCAUUGUGGAUUGACCAGGGAAAAGUUUGUGAAGGUUUUCCUCGCCUCCGCAAGGAAAAGAGGUAGUUUGAGUGAAAAUUAUGAGCUGAGCCUUCGGAAGUUGUCUUGGUAGGGUAAUCCACAUUCGUGGUGUUCUCUAGGUAUCCAAGUUGGGAAUCUUUGUGGUCAUUUGAAAUCUAGAGAAGUACAUAUAUAGGAAUGGUGGAUUGAAAAUCGGAGACUUCUUCCUAGGGUUUUGGUUGGUGAGACAAGGGGUUAAUAGAGACCCAACUCUUUGGAGCUCCUCAAUGGAGAUUAGGAUUCUUGUAAUCCGAGCUUCGGGUGAAAAAUCCUGUGUCUAUCCUCUUGUGCAGUUUAUGUUUCUCCUUUGAUUUACUGCUUUGAAUUGUUCAUUAAUCAUUACUGUCUUUUGCGCCUUUGUAAGUCUUGGGGUUCCUUGAGAAUCAAGACGUGAGUCUCGAGGAGCGAGAACCCGAAAAUUUCUGGAAAGAAUCGUGGAAGUUCCAGGUAGCCCUCACUGUCUUCGGGUAAGAGAUGCUAGGAAGUUCCAAACCCUAUAUAUUAACCUCUUUAAUGGAAGAAAAUUGUUCAAUCAAUCAAUCAUGAGGAUAGCUCAGUUGGUUAGAACAUAUGAUAACGUUUGUGUGCAGAUCAGAGGAGUUGAGCGGGAGAAGGAAGCUGGCGAUGACGAAGAGGAAGAAGUUCGCGGGGCCAUGCAAGGCGACUUAUCCGAUCGACCGGUGCUAGAGGUGCCGCACCGACUGGGCGACGGACAGGAAGCGGCUGGCGCUGUGCGCACAAGGGUUCGGCUUAAACACCACCGGAGGGUUGGCCGGGAAGUUCUACCUAGUGACGGACGGCACCGACGAUGACGCGGUGAAUCCGCCCCGGGGACGCUCCGUUGGGGUGUGAUCCAGGACGAGCCACUGUGGAUCAUCUUUGCCAAGGAGAUGAUCAUCAACCUCAAGGAGGGGAUGAUGAUCAAUAGCGACAAGACAAUCGACAGGCGGGGAGCGCAUGUGCGGAUCACCAAUGGCGUGCAGGUGACGGUGCAGAACUCCAACAACGUGAUCAUCCACAACAUCCACAUCCACGACAUCGUGCUCGGCAAGUUGGGGAUGAUCCGCGACUCGCUGGAGCAGUUCGGCUUCCGCACCCAGUCCGACAGCGAUGACAUCAACAUCUUCGGCUCCACCAACGUCUAGCUCGACCACCUCUCCCUCUCCAACUGCAAGGACGGCCUCAUCGACGUCAUCGCCAAGUCCACCGGAGUCACCAUGCAUCUCCAACUACCACCUCACCAACCACAACGACAUCAGGCUCUU